rnacentral:rRNA from 1 species
UACGUAGGGUGCAAGCGUUAAUCGGAAUUACUGGGCGUAAAGCGUGCGCAGGCGGUUGUGCAAGACAGGUGGGAAAUCCCCGGGCUUAACCUGGGAACUGCACUUGUGACUGCACGGCUGGAGUACGGCAGAGGGGGAUGGAAUUCCGCGUGUAGCAGUGAAAUGCGUAGAUAUGCGGAGGAACACCAAUGGCGAAAGCAGGUGACUGGACUCGUAUUGACACUCAUCCACGAAAGCUAGGGGAGCAAACAGG